GAUGAAGAACGCAGCGAAAUGCGAUAAGUAAUGUGAAUUGCAGAAUUCAGUGAAUCAUCGAAUCUUUGAACGCACAUUGCGCCCGCUAGUAUUCUGGCGGGCAUGCCUGUUCGAGCGUCAUUUCAACCAUCAAGCCCCAGGCUUGUGUUGGGGUCCUGCGGCUUCUGCAGCCCCCUAAAAGCAGUGGCGGGCUCGCUGUCAUACCGAGCGCAGUAGCAUAUCCUCGCUCUGGGCGUGACAGCUUGUACCGGCCGUGAAACUCUCACUAAGGUUGACCUCGGAUCAGGUAGGAAUACCCGCUGAACUUAAGCAUAUCAAUAAGCGGAAGA
rnacentral:misc_RNA from 1 species